rnacentral:rRNA from 1 species
UACGUAGGGUGCAAGCGUUAAUCGGAAUUACUGGGCGUAAAGCGUGCGCAGGCGGUUAUAUAAGACAGUUGUGAAAUCCCCCGGGCUCAACCUGGGAACUGCAUCUGUGACUGUAUAGCUAGAGUACGGUAGAGGGGGGAUGGAAUUCCGCGUGUAGCAGUGAAAUGCGUAGAUAUGCGGAGGAACACCGAUGGCGAAGGCAAUCCCCUGGACCUGUACUGACGCUCAUGCACGAAAGCGUGGGGAGCAAACAGG